AGUGAACGCUGGCGGUAGGCCUAACACAUGCAAGUCGAACGGCAGCACAGUAAGAGCUUGCUCUUACGGGUGGCGAGUGGCGGACGGGUGAGGUAUACAUCGGAAUCUACUUUUUCGUGGGGGAUAACGUCGGGAAACUUACGCUAAUACCGCAUACGACCUACGGGUGAAAGCAGGGGAUCUUCGGACCUUGCGCGAUUGAAUGAGCCGAUGUCGGAUUAGCUGGUUGGCGGGGUAAAGGCCCACCAGGGCGACGAUCCGUAGCUGGUUUGAGAGGAUGUGGGCUCGCACGGGAAAGGAGACAGGGGAGACACGCAGACGGGAGGCAGCGGGCGGUAAUAUUAGACAAUGGGCGGAACCCUGAUCUAGCCUGACGGCGGAGGUUAGUAAGCCCUGCGGGUUGUAAAGUCCGUUUGUGGGGAAGGAAAACCAGCAGGUUAAAACCCCGCUGUUCUGGCGGUACCCAAGGAAUAACCCCCGGCUAACUCCGUG
rnacentral:rRNA from 1 species